rnacentral:rRNA from 1 species
UACGGGGGGGGCAAGCGUUGUUCGGAUUCAUUGGGCGUAAAGGGUGCGUAGGUGGCGCGCUAAGUCAGGUGUGAAAUUUCGGAGCUUAACUCCGAAACUGCAUUUGAUACUGGCGUGCUUGAGGACUGGAGAGGAGACUGGAAUUCAUGGUGUAGCAGUGAAAUGCGUAGAGAUCAUGAGGAAGACCAGUGGCGAAGGCGGGUCUCUGGACAGUUCCUGACACUGAGGCACGAAGGCCAGGGGAGCAAACGGG